rnacentral:rRNA from 1 species
GGCGCGACAGGUGAGUAUAACAUGGGUAACCUGCCCGUAAGACAGGGAUAACUCCGGGAAACCGGAGCUCAAACCGGAGAGUUCCUUGAACCGCGCGGUUCACGGAUGAAAGACGGUUUCUGCUGUCACUUAUAGAUGGACCCCCGCCUCACUAUCUCUUUGUUGGGGUAAUGGCUCACCACGGCGACAAUACGCAUCCCACAUGAGAGGGGGAGCUCCCCCACUGGGACAGAGACACGGCCCCCACACCCCCAGGAGGCGCCACUAUGGAAACUCCCCCACUGUGCAAAAAUCUCACAGAGAACCGCCCCGCGAGUGAGAAGAGUGUUCUGAUCUCAUAACUCUCUUGUUUUGGAAAAAAACGUGUGAGAGUUAAAGUUCGCGCCUUGUUGGGGCCCCACCACAAAACCGCGGCGGAAAACUUGCCGCCACCCGCGGUGAUAAUUCUGUGGCGACCGUUUUCCCGAAUUAUUGUGGGUAAAAGGGCCCCCGGAGGUUUUUUCUUACUUAUGUUAAAACCCCCCGCUCAACCGGGGAGGGUCAUGGGAAACUGGGAGACUUGAGUGCAGAAGAGGAGAGUGGAAUUCCACGUGUAGCGGUGAAAUGCGUAGAGAUGUGGAGGAACACCAGUGGCGAAGGCGACUCUCUGGUCUGUAACUGACGCUGAGGAGCGACAGCGUGGGGAGCAAACAGGAUUAGAUACCCUGGUAGUCCACGCCGUAAACGAUGAGUGCUAAGUGUUAGGGGGUUUCCGCCCAUUAGUGCUGAAGUUAACGCAUUAAGCACUCCGCCUGGGGAGUACGGUCGCAAGACUGAAACUCAAAGGAAUUGACGGGGGCCCGCACAAGCGGUGGAGCAUGUGGUUUAAUUCGAAGCAACGCGAAGAACCUUACCAGGUCUUGACAUCCUCUGACAACCCAAGAGAUAGGGCUUUCCCUUCGGGAAUAGAGUGACAGGUGGUGCAUGGUGGUCGUCAGCUCGUGUCUUGAGAUGUUGGGUUAAGUCCCGCAACGAGCGCAACCCUUGAUCUUAGUUGCCAGCAUUAAGUUGGGCACUCUAAGGUGACUGCCGGUGACAAACCGGAGGAAGGUGGGGAUGACGUCAAAUCAUCAUGCCCCUUAUGACCUGGGCUACACACGUGCUACAAUGGACAGUACAAAGGGCUGCGAGACCGCAAGGUUUAGCCAAUCCCAUAAAUCCGUUCUCAGUUCGGAUCGCAGUCUGCAACUCGACUGCGUGAAGCGGAAUCGCUAGUAAUCGCGGAUCAGC